AUCACAGUGAGGAGGGGUGGCUGUGCUGGAACCCACCUUUGGGGAAGGUAGAAAACUCUCCCUGGCAGAGGGGUGCUGGUGGCACAUGUGGUACCUGCAGUGCCAGCCUGUCCUUGCUGCGUGUGGCAUGGGAAUCUCAGCUGCCACCAGGGCAGUUCUGCUUUGCACCUGAAGCUGGUUUGUGCCCAAAGCAGCAGCAGGGCUGGAGUCCUUGGAGCAGUUCAUGCAUUCAGCAGACCAACAAGGCAGAGCAUGCAGGAGGAGGUAUUGCUAGUCCUUGGCUAUUGGCAUCCAGCGCCCUGCUCACCUGGACUGGAGGAAAAAGCAGCGGGAUCCUUUCCCAUGAUGCGGACUUCCAGUAAUAAGAAAGCAGCCUGUUCCAGCUGAUAGGAUGAAAACACAGUGCAGGGAGAAAACCCCUUUGAAAUGUGGGGAAUGGAUGUGCCAGGUGCUAAGCUUUAUUUGCCACUCACCUUCAUGCUGCAGUGGGAAGAAAUGAGAGACACUGAAAGAAAGGAGCUGGCUGCAGAAGGGAAGAGAAGUCAGCCUUGGUCUGCAAUGAUAAACCCCGCAUCUAAAUAAAAUACUGCUAGAGAGCAUCAUGUUCUUGCCCUGCUUCCAAGUAGUUAAGGUUUGCUUCUCAAAGUCUGUUUUCUCUUUCAAUCUUUACAGAUAUUGAUCUCUAUAAAAAUGGAUUUUGCAAAGAGGAAGGGAGAAAACAGCCCUGUGACCUUCACAUUUAUUUAACGAUCGGAGGCAUGUGAAAAAUAUCUUGAUUAUAGGCUAGCAAUUUUCUCCGGCUGCUCUGGAGCAGAGCAGGAGGGCAUUGCCUGCAACAGAACUUGCUGUAAUGUGAGGGAAGACUCAUUUCAGAGUGCAUGGAGGGGUUUCUUUGUCCUAUUCAGCUCUUUGGACAUGGAGUUCAGAUCUCUGUUUUUGUAUUAAUAGGUCUCUUGGUUGUCUGCUGCCCAGUGGGUAAUCUCUACUGGAGCUGCUUGUGUUUAUAAGUGCUGAUGAGUCCCUUGUUAUCCCCACCCAGAUCUGCUCCCUAACCCACACCACGGGGGACACUCGGUGUCCUUUGCAAGUGUCACGUAGCUGGGAUGUGCCCAGGGACACUGCAAUGCCGCUUGUGGGACAAGGGAAGCAGUCCCAAGCACUGCUCACAUCCCACUAAAUAAACCAGGCACUUCCUUUAGCAGGCUGUGGUACAUCAAGGGCAUAACAAGAUACCUGCAUGGAUUUGUUGUGAUCUAGUGACCAUCACUGAGCAUAACCAUGGUUUGGGGGCUCCUGCAGGUAAGGCACCUGAUACAGCCAGCCUGCCAAAGGCAAUGCACAGGUUCCUGCUCACAAUGUUUUGGAAAAGUCUUAAAAUGUUUCUGGUUAAGGAAGUUGUGUUAAAGUGCAGUCAGAAAUUUCUAGGCAGCUCACAGAUGUGGUUGUUGAUGAGAUUGAUAUCAGACUGCUGGAAAUUCUUGUUCUUGUGAGUCCUUGAGCUCUAGCUUUUAUUUUUGUGCAAGACACUGUUUGUGCUAAGCAGGGAAAAAAAAAAACAGCGACUUGUACAGAGGAAAAAAGAGGUUAUUUUCUCUUGCCUUUGUCUAAGGUAUCUAUAAUAAUGUUGGCAAAAUAAAAGAAAAAAACGCCAAAAAACAAGCUUUCUUUUUCAUGGACGGGGGGCAGACAACCAGAGGCUUGUGAAGAAGGCUCCCAAGUGCUGGUGCCCUCUCCCUCCUCAGCACAGGGACCUGCCCCUUGUCUGGGGCUGCUGAAGAAGCUGCUUCCUUUGCAAAGCUUUUUGUAAAGUGUUUAAUGAGUUCCCUGUGCAAAAGUCGUAUGCCAACAUAACAGCAUCGCAGCUGUGCAGGCCUGCUCUUCACAUCCGAAGAACAACAUCUCCAGCAUAUCACCCUCUCUGGAGCAGUAAGGUGGGGCACAGAAACAAAUAUCCUAAAUACCUAUCAGUUCUGGCUCCCCCAGCCACCAGGUGCAUGCAGUCAAGCAAAUUUUCCUCAGGGUCUCUGUGGGGACACUUAGUGCAAGAACAGAAAGAAGCAUUUUGUUGGAGAUGCUCUCAUUAAUUCCCCAUGUAGCCAAGACAUGCACGAACUGUAAUAGCUUCUUCAGAUGUCGAAGCUCCCGUUUCGUGCCCUCUGUAGAGCUGCAGAUGCAAAGCCCUGCCCAGUUGCUGUCAUGCUAUGAUUUGCCGAGUCAAUUAAAAGUCUGUCCUUAUCGUGGGCACACAAAACAAAUGUUAUCUACGUAAUUAGACUGUUAAACCACAGCACAAGCUACAAUUAUUCAUGAUAAUAAAAUAGUGCAUUAACAUAAGUCAAUCAAGAGCAGAUUUUAAAAAUAAUUGGUUUAGAUUUUGAGCUAACAUCUGCUUUGGUUAUUAGCUCUUGGACACUUUGUUUUUAAUUGAACAAUUUAAAGAAAAUGUUAUCCAGUGCCUCCAGGCUUCCUUCAGUAGCAAGCUUCUCUUUUAAAAGAGUUCUGUGCAAGUUUGCCUUUCUGUAAAGAAAAGCAUGUGGCUAACAAUGUGUGCAGCAACAACGGUUGCAGCUAUUAUUAAUUGUAAAUGUGGCGAAGGCAGAAAAGUGAAAGAAAGAGGAAUUGGGCAGCAGUUUUGAAAGCUUUGAGUCCCCCCCAUCCAGACCUAAGCAGGGUGUCUGGGAGGACCCCAGCACCCUGCAGCUCCUAGUUCCUCUGCGUGCUGCAGAUGCUGUUCCACGUGGGGUUGUGUUUUGCAAAGUGGCACCCGGGGACCUCCCGCAGGACCCAGCCCCUGUGCUCAGAGCAUCCUGAGCUGGGGGCCCAAGCUGGCAGCAGGAAACCUGUUGUCCCCUGCACAGCCAAAAACCAGAGAGGGAGAGCUGCUAGAAAUGGCCCGUGAAGUUUUCUGUUACAGAAAAUGGAUCACAUGGACAGUUCUUCAAUUUAGAGAGCUGGAAGCACGCGCCAGUUGGAAGGGGACCCAUUCGUGCCAGAGCAGGACUUGGCAAGUGGUGGCUGAAACUGUUGAGAUAACAUCAGCUUCUGUUUUAUUUGAAAGCUCUGUUUAUUUUUCCUUUUAACCUGAAAUUCUGUUGAAAAAAAAAAUCAAGAGAUUUUAAAGCACAAGAAGAUGAAAGAACAGGUCACGAGCUGAGACAAAACCCUUGGGCCUUCCUCCUCCAAAGCCCCGUGAACGCUGGCCCACCCAUGCUGUUUGUCCUGCUGCUUUUCCAGCCACAGCCUCCCCAUGUUGCCAGACACCUCCUGGUCUCCCACUGCUGCUCAGCAAGUCUGCAGCCCCGCUCUCAAAUCAUCCUCUUAUUGUCUCCAUACAUUUGGAGCGUCCUUUGACCACUUCUGCUGCUGCAGUCCAUCCUUGGGAACCCCGUCAUCCCCAGCUCAGCCUUGGGGGGUUCCUGCAAGGUCCCUCGUGGGAAGUCAGAGUCCCCCAAGGUCACCGCUCCUGCAGAAGUGAUCGGAGACC